rnacentral:lncRNA from 1 species
GAGAGAGAGAGAUUUUUUUAAACUAGAUCAAAAUCUACAAUUUUGUUGUUCAUCAGUGACUGUCUUUCACCCACCAUUAUUUUCCAUACUGAAAGCAGGAUGUAGACUUUUGUGGGUAAUGAGCAGAUAUAAAUACCUAUGAAUCAGAUAAAUUAUGCUGUAUUUCUUCAUUCCAGAGAAGCUGCUACAAUGAAGGAUGUAAGCAGAUGCUGUUGCCUUGGAGACUGCUCAUUCGAGUCUCGAUUGCACCAGGUGGAUGAUAUCUUUCUUCCUCAGGAGUAUGGAGAUGGUGGCUUUAUUCUCAAAAUGCACUUCUGAGAGAAGAGCUAUGUCCUUGCAACUCACUAUAUGGAAAACAUGGCUAUACUUCAGAAAAACCUCUGUUCUAUGUAGAAGUGAUUUAGAAUCCAAGAAUAUACUUACCUGGAAGAAAAAGAACCUAUUCAGUUGGAUCUUCUCCUGCUGUAGGAGAUGGCCUGUGCCAGGCUGAACUUGGUGUUUACCAGAAAUCUUGCUCUACCCAUGAAUACCAUGACUGUGUUGGACGUUUCACCAAGUUUGCAAUACCAGAAACAGAAGUGAAUUGUGAAGAAAGAUGUGCCUUGCACAAAUGUUGUGAUGUGGGCAAUAUUGGAGCCUUACCAGUCAAUACUGAGAUAUUCUAAAGGACCUCCUUGGAGCUAAGUGAUUCAUUAGCAAUGGAACAAGGUAUAACCGCUACCAGUAUUAGCAGUGCUUUAUAGCAUAUAGGAAGUUGCUGAUAAAUUGUCUUUUGUUCUAAUCAAAUUAAUUGGCGUUCCAAGGGAAGGAUGGAUCUUUUCUAUGUUUUUGGGUAGCAUUUUAUCCUUGUAUACUGUGUGUUCUGCUCAAAAAGAAAGCUGAAUUCAGAUAUCAAUUCUGAUCAUCAUCUCCCAGUUCUUAUUUUCUCAAGAAAAUUUCUUUGGGCUGAUGCGAUCUAGCAGAUGCAAGCAUAAAAAGAUUUAGUGGCUGAACACAUUCAAGUAGGAAUAGGAUCCAGAUCUUUAACAGUGAAGUAAACAACCGUAUGAACAGUUUAC